UUUAAAAAAAAUAACAACCCUUAAUUUGUUUUAAAAAACUUUGUGUGUUUUACUGUCACGAAAAACAAAAGUUCAAAAAUUAUAACAGAACUAAUUCUACAAAUGUUUUAUAAUGGCGUCGACUAUAGACUUGAAAUACAGGGACCCAAAUGACUUGAAUGAUGAAAUACGGGUAAGUUUUAAUUGAUAAAUGAACAAUAUUAUUUAACCUACAACUGAUUUCGAUACUUAUAUCUAUAAUUUGUCUUGUUUUCGUAUAAACGAAAAAAACACAACGCCCUAAGGAUAUGGGGUAUGCAUCAAUGACGCCAAAUCUUUACAUGUAAUUCAAAAACACAAAAAGCAAAGGAACAACGCUUUUAAUGCUAUUAUUCGUCUCAAAGUCAUAGUGAGGCCUACAACAAAGUGUGUAAAAACCAAAACUCCGCUUCACUGCAGGUUUAAGUCGGCCCCUAUCCCCCGUUUUGAGCGGAUUUCGUUGCAGAAUAAUUCGGAUAUAUAUAGAAUAAUAGGUAGUUUCUUUUUUGAUACUGACUAUAUCACGUGGAAUAUCUAGACAAGCCCGUUAGGGCGAGUUGUGAUAUUCCAUAUGAUAUAGUCAGUAUCAAAAACGAAACUACCUAUUAUUCUGUUUAUCGGUAAUUAUGACGUCACACAAUGUAUUGCCUAAUAUUUCCUGUGAUAUAGCCAGUACGGUGAUACUCGAAAAUAUUAGGCAGUAAAAUCAAAGGGAAAAUAUACGAAUUACCGAUAAACUUUUUAAAAAAAAACUACUUGAAAGUAUUACAUUAAGAAAAUAGUUCCUACGCAUAUGUGUGAAUUUUAAACUAUGUAGAAUAUAUUUUAUAAGAAGUUUAGGUAUCAGAUGAUAGACGAAGGACUGCUGAUACAUGUAGAACGCAAAUUGACUAACAAUUCUGAAUAACGUAUGAAUUAAUUCUAAAAUUUAACCUGGAUAGGAAUGGGGGCUAUGAAUAGUUGUUGUACGUCGUUAAAAAAAAAGAAUUAAGGGCACACACUGAUGUACGAUCAUAAGCGAAGUUAAAGAUGUUUAAUUGGAAAUCUCUAUUCAUGUAUCGUUCUUUUAGCGAGUGACUAUAUCGAACGAACAAAAAAAACUUAUAUUCCUUAGAAUGUUUUAAUUCUAUAUAUUAGAAAAUAUAUGCUUUGUAAAAGUUGUCAAACAAUGUGCUAUUACAUUUCAGAUGAUGUCAAAUAUCAACACCACACUGAAUCAAGUUUUCUAUCUGUCUCCACAGGGCUAAAUAGAUGCAUGCCAAUUAAUACAUGCUUUGCAUCACACUGUUCAUAUACACAAAGUUUUAAUUUAAUGCCAAUUAUAAUUACAUAACAGGGCCCAUUUACCAUUAUAGUAAUAUUUAGUGUGAUUCACUUUGAUACUUACAGAUACAUUUUAAUGAGGUGUUUGGGGAACCCAAUUCCAUGCACAGCUAUGACUAUCUAUGGAUGUACUCAAACCUAUGGUAUACAUGGAUGAAGGAUUGCUGCUACGCUACAAUAACCUUUUUCUGUGGUAUAUGUAUAGCUUUAUAUUGGGGAUGGAUUUUUGGUGAAAUUGCAUGUCAACAAAUAUGGUGCUUUACCCCAUUGCUAAGAAUGAUUUCAAUACACAUUGGAUUCUUACAAAAAUGCAUAGGAUUUACCUUUAACUGUUGUUGCGCUCCAUUUUUUUCAGCUUGUGGUUUAAUUUUCAGCUCUAUCUAUGUAACUGAAAGCAAUUAUUGAUUCACUUGCGCUAUUUGACAGAACUAACAUUAUAUAGAAAUAUUGUAUUGUAAUAAACAGAUAAAUCCUUG
rnacentral:lncRNA from 1 species